UAUAUGAAAUCCAGCAUAUAUAUCUUGUUUGCUGUGUCAUAAAAUAAUAAUAAUAAUAAUAAUAAUAAUAAUAAUAAUAAUAAUAAUAAUAAUAAUAAUGUUGUGACUCAGCCUUUGUGUGACUCUGAUGAGGAUUCUGGGAUGCAGUUUCAAGAUGAUGGGAUUCAGGUUCAGGAUGAGUUUCAAGAUAACUCUGAUGGGAAUUAUGGGAUUCAGGUGCAGAAUGUUCCUGCUGUGGGAGAUGAGGAGCAGGGAGGCUUUCCCAUGGGAAGAAAUGAUGUUGUUACUGAUGAUGGUUUUCAGGUGCAGAGUUUUCCUGCUGUGGAAGAUGAGGAGCAGGGAGGCUUUCCCACGGGAAGAAAUGAUGUUGUUACUGAUGAUGGUUUUCAGGUGCAAGGAGCAAAUAAGAGGGAGGGCAAAAGGCAAAGAAAUGCCUUCAUGUUAUGCUAUUAAAACAGUCUGCUGAGAGGGAAAUCUUCGUCAAAGCAAUUUCCUCACUUGAAUCAAGAACCAAGUCUGCUUUCCUGUAUUAUCCUGUAGCCUGGAUGUAUUCUUGUUUCUGGGACUUUGGCUUCUUUUGAAAGGACCUUGUUUCAUGCCUAAUGUUUCUAUGGAUUUGUUUCUUACAGCCUUGUUUUUGUAACUACCUUUUGGAACUGAACUUUUACCUUUUAUGAACUAUCUUUUCCCUAUUUCCUAAUAAAUUACAAAAGCUAACCUGAGGUGCGACACUUUUAGAGCUUUUUCCAAGAUAUGGAUCAAUAUUUGGAGUUGACUUAUCACAUUGCUGAAAUGGGACAGUUGACAGGGCUCCCAGGUAAGGUGAGAUACUGGAAAUCUCAGCAGUCAUACUUCACGGUAUGACUGACAUUGUACUAAAUCCCAGAGGGUUUGGAGUUGCUUUUAUGGAGCUCUCUAAGGUGCAGUUUGAGCCUCAGCUUGAGCACCUUGGAGAGCUUCUUCCAAGAUAUGGGUAAAUACUUGGAUGUAUCAUAUUGCUGAAAUGGGAUAGCUGACAGGGCUCCCAUUUAAGAUGAGAUACUGGAAACUUCAGCAUCCAUAUCUAGCAGCAUAACUCUCACCAAUGUUUGGAUUACAUCCCUGAAGGCUAAGGAGUUCUCCAAGGUGCUGCAUUGUUUUGAGCUUCAGCACCUUGGAGAGCGCUUUCCAAGAUAUGGGUGAAUACUUGGAGUAGACUCCGAAGGCUUUCAUGGCCGGGAUCUGUUAAAGUGAGAAUGAUUGUAUAUAGAGUGUUUAAAUGUAAUUGAGUCAUGGUUGUGCAAUGUGUGCUGGAGAUUGCAUCAUACACUGUGUGCUGCUUACUAUGCCGGUGUGUAAAGGGUUAAACUUGGAUUGCAUCAGACAGCAGAGGAUGAGAUAAAUAGCCCUCUACUUCCUAUCUCUCUCUCUCUGUCUCUUCCCGUGUGUACCUGCGUGAGAGCUGUGUAUCGUCUUGUGAGAUUUCCGUUCGUAAGUAAACUUUUGAUAGAUAACUGAAGACUGCAGCAUCGUUAUUUAUCCAGAGCUUCCUCGUCAGCGACUUCUGCUGUGUGUGUGCCUAGCAAACCACUCUGAUAUUGGGUUUUGGGCCCAGAUUCUGGCCCAGAUUCCUACCCAGUAUACCCAGUAUACCCAGUAUACCUAGGUUCCUGCCCAGAUUCUUGCCUAGGUUCCAGACCAGUUUGCCCAGUCUGACCAGUCUGCCUAGAGUGAACAGGAUCUUCAGGUGGAACCAGAGAUCCGGGAGCUGAGAGGAGAGCCGGAGCUGUGUGCUGCGAGAAGCCGUGCUUAGACUGCUGAGGGGGAAAGUUCGUCUUCGGAGGAAGCAAACUUUUCCUGGAGCAGAGAAAGCAGAGAUUAGCAGCAGGACGUGCUGAACCUCGGAGAGAUUUAUGAGCCAAGGUGCGAAGGAGAAGCCAUAAAGAGUGCCGUAAAUUCCUGUGGUGGAGGGGACUGCUGGGCUGUGCUGAGCAUGUGUUUUAUCAGCUGCUGAAGGCUUUAACUCGGGGAAUCGAGUUAUUGUUGUAUGUUUGUAUGUACAGGGUUGUUGUAUGUUUUCUGGGCUGUAUGGCCAUGGUUCUAGGAAGUAUUGGUCCUCCUGAUGUUUCGCC
rnacentral:lncRNA from 1 species